rnacentral:lncRNA from 1 species
UGAAAAACGCUAGUUUUGAAAAAGAGAGGUACAGAACGUUUGAAAAAAAAUUCGCAUUAAUCAAAGAUAUCGAGUGAGAUGGAGUGUAGAAAACAAAGAUUAAAUCGGAAAUCGCUUAGAAAGACAAAAGUUUAAGCGAUUAGGCAAAGCAAAUUAGGGUUUGCAAAAUUAGUUAGGGAAAUUAGAACAUGGCCGUGAAACUCGUGUACAAUGCCAUAAAAGGCAUCAUCGGACAAAAACCACCAGAGAAAAGACCGAAAACUGACCCAAAUAAAGCUUCAGUGACCCCUUUCAUGACGGAAGCUGCUGGCUUCAAGCUUCAGAGAGAAAAUAGCGAUACAGGGACUCCAUGGUUGCUGGAGGUCGAGAGAAGUGAUGGAGGAGUGAGCUGGAGAGGCGAUGGUCGUCAUCGGAGAAGACAGAGAGAACCAGAAGCUUCUAGAGAGAUGAAAGGUUAGAGAGCAUAGGUUAGUAGAGAUACA